rnacentral:rRNA from 1 species
AGUGAACGCUGGCGGUAGGCCUAACACAUGCAAGUCGAACGGCAGCACAGUAAGAGCUUGCUCUUACGGGUGGCGAGUGGCGGACGGGUGGGGAGUACAUCGGAAUCUACUUUUUCGUGGGGGAUAACGUAGGGAAACUUACGCUAAUACCGCAUACGACCUACGGGUGAAAGCAGGGGAUCUUCGGACCUUGCGCGAUUGAAUGAGCCGAUGUCGGAUUAGCUAGUUGGCGGGGUAAAGGCCCACCAAGGCGACGAUCCGUAGCUGGUCUGAGAGGAUGAUCAGCCACACUGGAACUGAGACACGGUCCAGACUCCUACGGGAGGCAGCAGUGGGGAAUAUUGGACAAUGGGCGCAAGCCUGAUCCAGCCAUACCGCGUGGGUGAAGAAGGCCUUCGGGUUGUAAAGCCCUUUUGUUGGGAAAGAAAAGCAGCAGGUUAAUACCCCGCUGUUCUGACGGUACCCAAAGAAUAAGCACCGGCUAACUUCGUG